CCUACGGGAGGCAGCAGUGAGGAAUAUUGGUCAAUGGACGCAAGUCUGAACCAGCCAUGCCGCGUGCAGGAAGACGGCUCUAUGAGUUGUAAACUGCUUUUGUACGAGGGUAAACGCAGAUACGCGUAUCUGUCUGAAAGUAUCGUACGAAUACGGAUCGGCUAACUCCGUGCCAGCAGCCGCGGUAAUACGGAGGAUUCAUGCGUUAUCCGGAUUUAUUGGGUUUAAGGGGUGCGUAGGCGGUCGGAUAAGUUAGAGGUGAAAUCCCGAGGCUCAACUUCUGAAUUGCCUAUGAUACUGUUCGGCUAGAGAGUAGUUGCGGUAGGCGGAAUGUAUGGUGUAGCGGUGAAAUGCUUAGAGAUCAUACAGAACACCGAUUGCGAAGGCAGCUUACCAAGCUACUUCUGACGUUGAGGCACGAAGGCGUGGGGAGCGAACAGGAUUAGAUACCCUUGUAGUC
rnacentral:rRNA from 1 species